rnacentral:rRNA from 1 species
UACGUAGGAGGCGAGCGUUGUCCGGAUUCAUUGGGUGUAAAGGGCGCGUAGGCGGCCAUCUAAGUCAGACGUGAAAUCCCCCGGCUUAACCUGGGAACUGCGUCUGAUACUGGAAGGCUUGAGUUUGGGAGAGGGAUGCAGAAUUCCAGGUGUAGCGGUGAAAUGCGUAGAUAUCUGGAGGAAUACCGGUGGCGAAGGCGGCAUCCUGGACUAACACUGACGCUGAGGCGCGAAAGCUAGGGGAGCAAACGGG